UCCUUGUUUAUUUCACCCGCUGCUGCAGGUGAUAGUUACUUUUUACAGUUCGUUUUUAGUUCAGGGGAAUGGGUCUUUAAACUUUAAAUUUUGUCUUUUAACCUCAAGAAUGAUGGAAUCCCCUGUCCUAUUAGAUUAUCAAGAUAUCUCCAGUAUUGGGAAAAUGCCCCUAAAGUUCCCAGGUGCCUGUGGGGGAGAGACAGGGAGUAUGCUGGGAUUGGUCCAAUAUCUUUACCAGAAGAUCACCCAUCCUCCCUUCUUGAAGGCGAGGGCGACUCCAUCAGGAUAUAGUGGGAGCCCAAGUGGAAAUCAUACUUACUGAACCCUCGCUCACUCACCAGACAUUGCCCGCCUUAUGAAUAUAUUGUAAUGUUACAAUGUAGCAAGGGAAAGGUUAUUAUAUUUAUUUAUUUUUAACUAGGAUUGUAAAUAGUUUAAACAUUUAGUGUUAACAUUUUACCUAGACUUUUAAUCAGAAAUAUGCAGGCCAAAUAUAGGUGUUAAUGUUCUCUUUUCCAUUUACAUUAAAAUGGUUUAACACAAUCCAAUGUAGCAGUAAUUUAUAAAAAGUGAGGGCUUCUUAUCGAUUACUUUUCUCAUUGGUUGCUAACAUUUAAGAUCAAUAUGUGAAAGUUUAGAUGUUUAGGAAAAUAAAGAAACGAUCACCUAUUAAAACUUAUUACACAGAUGAAAGCAAAAGCCCAAACAUUUGUUUACUUGACUUAGCAUUAUGAUUUAGUUUUUUAACAUCUAGAAUUGAUUAUUGUAAUUGUCUAUUCUCCGGCAUUCAAAGUCAAGUUUUAUCCCGUUUGCAACUCGUCCUGCUGCUGCCAGGAUUUUAACUAAACAAGAAAGUAUGACCAUAUUACACCGGUAUUGGCAGCCCUACAUUGGCUUCCAGUUCGGUUUCGGGUUGAUUUUAAGCUUCUGCUCAUAACCUACAAAGCUUUACAUGAUCUGGCUCCCUCUUACCUGAAUGAUCUUCUAAUUCCAUAUGUUCCUAGGCAGCCUCUCCAAUCCCAGGAUGCCGUGCUGCUCACUAUUCCCAACAUUUUAAAAACUAGUAUUAGUGGCAGAGCUUUCAGUUACAGGGCCCCUAAAUUAUGGAACAAUUUGCCCAUUUUUGUAAGGGAAGCGCCAACGGUUGCAGCUUUUAAAAUAGGACUGAAGACACAUUUUUAUAAUCUAUCUUUUUUAUCUUAAUAUGAUUGUUUUCUUUUAUCGUCUAUGGUUUUAUUGUUUCACUGAUCUUGUUUUUCUUUAUAUGUUUUAUCUACAUAUUUAUGCAUUACUCUCCUGCUCAUGUAUUUUCAUUUACUGGGAUUAUUGUAUUUCUGCUUGUGUUUUCUGUUUUAGCCAUGUGAAGCGCUUUGAGGCAUUGCUUUUGUGAAAGGUGCUAUAUUAAAUAAAGGCUGACUGAUUGAU